rnacentral:rRNA from 1 species
GAUUAACGCUAGCGGCAGGCCUAAUACAUGCAAGUCGAACGGUAACAGGUCCAGCAAUGGAUGCUGACGAGUGGCGCACGGGUGCGUAACACGUAUGCAACCUACCUUAGACUGGGGGAUAGCCCCGAGAAAUCGGGAUUAAUACCCCAUACAAUUACGAUAAGGCAUCUUAUUGUAAUGAAAGCUCCGGCGGUCUUAGAUGGGCAUGCGCGACAUUAGCUAGUUGGUGAGGUGACGGCUCACCAAGGCUGCGAUGUCUAGGGGUUCUGAGAGGAUUCACCCCCACACUGGUACUGAGACACGGACCAGACUCCUACGGGAGGCAGCAGUAAGGAAUAUUGGUCAAUGGACGCAAGUCUGAACCAGCCAUGCCGCGUGCAGGAAGACAGCCCUACGGGUUGUAAACUGCUUUUAUACGGGAAAAAACCUCCGGUCGUGCACCGGAGCUGAUGGUACCGUAAGAAUAAGCAUCGGCUAACUCCGUGCCAGCAGCCGCAGUAAAAC